rnacentral:rRNA from 1 species
AACGCUAGCUACAGGCUUAACACAUGCAAGUCACGGGGUAACGAGAGGGAAGCUUGCUUUCCUUGUCGACGACCGGCGCACGGGUGAGUAACGCGUAUCCAACCUGCCCAUUACCACGGGAUACCCCGUCGAAAGGCGGCCUAAUACCGUAUGCAGUCGUCAGAUGACAUCAGAGGACGACGAAAGGAUUGGCGGUAAUGGAUGGGGAUGCGUCUGAUUAGGUAGUUGGAGGGGUAACGGCCCACCAAGCCAUCGAUCAGUAGGGGUUCUGAGAGGAAGGUCCCCCACAUUGGAACUGAGACACGGUCCAAACUCCUACGGGAGGCAGCAGUGAGGAAUAUUGGUCAAUGGGCGCGAGCCUGAACCAGCCAAGUAGCGUGAGGGAUGACGGCCCUAUGGGUUGUAAACCUCUUUUAUGCGGGAAUAAAAUGUUUGACGUGUCAUACAUUGUAGGUACCGCAAGAAUAAGGACCGGCUAAUUCCGUGCCAGCAGCCGCGGUAAUACGGAAGGUCCAGGCGUUAUCCGGAUUUAUUGGGUUUAAAGGGAGCGUAGGCCGCAAGUCAAGCGUGUUGUGAAAUGCAGGGGCUCAACCUCUGGAUUGCAGCGCGAACUGGCAUGCUUGAGUACGCACGAGGUAGGCGGAAUUUGUGGUGUAGCGGUGAAAUGCUUAGAUAUCACGAAGAACUCCGAUUG